rnacentral:siRNA from 1 species
UUACAUGUUCGAGCUGUCUAGC